rnacentral:lncRNA from 1 species
UAUUCGCAAAUUCGAAACUCGGUGAAAUUAUAUAAUUAAUGUAUCACAAUUUUGGUGGUAUACCGGCAUGACAUUGCCGGAUCCAUUUAUUUAAUUCGAGCUAAACAAAUUGAUAUUAUUGGACCGGAAUCUAUAUCUCUCACAGAAUUGGAUAGGCAUUUAACAAUAUGAUUCAAAUCUUAAUAACACAAGCCAACUAUGUGGUUAACAGAAUACCUAUGAUAAUAUGAGCUUAACGGAUUAACCACACCAAGCAGUAUUAGGAUGAUGAGAUAGAGCAAAAGUACCAAUCAGCACAUAUAAUAUCCAAG